CGGGGUGUAGCGCAGUUGGUAGCGCGCCUGCUUUGGGAGCAGGAUGUCGGGGGUUCAAGUCCCUUCACUCCGACCA
rnacentral:tRNA from 1 species